GUGGAUUAGAUACCCGGGUAGUCCACGCCGUAAACGAUGGACACUAGGCGUCGGGGGGAGCGACCCCCUCGGUGCCGUCGCUAACGCAGUAAGUGUCCCGCCUGGGGAGUACGGCCGCAAGGCUGAAACUCAAAGGAAUUGACGGGGGCCCGCACAAGCGGUGGAGCAUGUGGUUUAAUUCGAAGCAACGCGAAGAACCUUACCUGGGCUUGACAUGCUGGUGUAAGCCGGUGGAAACAUCGGCCCCUCUUCGGAGCGCCAGCACAGGUGCUGCACGGCCGUCGACAACU
rnacentral:rRNA from 1 species